GUUAAGUCAUGAAACAAAAAUGCCUUGCAAUAAUUAAUAAAAAGCAAAAUACAUAGCAUCCUGACUGCAGUUUGUCACCAAAGAAGAUGGAUCACACAAAACACGCAACCAAAAUUCCUGUGAACUCAACAGAGUUUCAGCGCAAAACCUUAUUCAGUACUCUGAUGCACGAGAGACUCGCUAGCCAGCCUCACAACUGCAACUAUAUAUCACUCACUAUUAGCCACUCAGUUCUGGGCUACUUCAAUGAGGGUUGGCUCGUAGUCGGCGGGAGCCUCGAACCCGUGGAGAUUCAUCACAGUGGCAGCAACAUUUGCGAGGCCGGGAGUGCCUGGAACAUCAGAUCGGAACCUGGUUCCAGGUGUAAGGCCUGGGCCGCCGAUGGCGAUUGGGACCGGCUGAAGCGUAUGGGAAGUGAGGAUUUGAAUGUUGCCAGCUUUAUCGAGAAGCGGCUGGCCGGUUUUGUUCCUCUUUACCAUGUCCUCACAAUUUCCGUGAUCAGCAGUGACAACGUAGAUACCACCCACUUGUUCUAUGGCAUCAAGAAUUAUCUUGACAGCUUCAUCAGCAGCCUUGCAACUCACGACGGUGGCUUCGAUGUCCCCUGUAUGCCCCACCAUGUCUCCAUUCGGUAUGUUAACACGCACCUGAUCGAACUUGCGACUGAGAAUGGCAUCUCUUGCUUUCUCAGCAAUCUCCAAGGCUUUCAUCUUCGGUUUAACAUUGAAUGUAAUUCCGCUGUCGCUGGGAAUUUCAACAUACUCUUCCAAGGCUUCGUUGAAGUACCCAGACCGAUUUCCAUUCCAGAAAAAGGUAACAUGACCGAAUUUGACAGUCUCGCUGCAAGCAAAAGUCCGA
rnacentral:misc_RNA from 1 species